AUCCGGGUUGCGGACAGUGUCUGGUGGGUAGUUUGACUGGGGCGGUCUCCUCCCAAAGAGUAACGGAGGAGCACGAAGGUUAGCUAAUCCUGGUCGGACAUCAGGAGGUUAGUGCAAUGGCAUAAGCUAGCUUGACUGCGAGAGUGACGGCUCGAGCAGGUGCGAAAGCAGGUCAUAGUGAUCCGGUGGUUCUGAAUGGAAGGGCCAUCGCUCAACGGAUAAAAGGUACUCCGGGGAUAACAGGCUGAUACCGCCCAAGAGUUCAUAUCGACGGCGGUGUUUGGCACCUCGAUGUCGGCUCAUCACAUCCUGGGGCUGAAGUAGGUCCCAAGGGUAUGGCUGUUCGCCAUUUAAAGUGGUACGCGAGCUGGGUUUAGAACGUCGUGAGACAGUUCGGUCCCUAUCUGCCGUGGGCGCUGGAGAAUUGAGGGGGGCUGCUCCUAGUACGAGAGGACCGGAGUGGACGCAUCACUGGUGUUCGGGUUGUCAUGCCAAUGGCACUGCCCGGUAGCUAAAUGCGGAAGAGAUAAGUGCUGAAAGCAUCUAAGCACGAAACUUGCCCCGAGAUGAGUUCUCCCUGAGACUUUAAGUCUCCUGAAGGAACGUUGAAGACUACGACGUUGAUAGGUCGGGUGUGUAAGCGCAGCGAUGCGUUGAGCUAACCGAUACUAAUGAACCGUGAGGCUUAACCUU
rnacentral:rRNA from 1 species